rnacentral:sRNA from 1 species
CCUCAGGAUCCUCAGCCAGGCCUGACUGCCCAUGUGGUGUCUGCCGGGGGGCGGGCUGAGAUGCACUGCUUCAGCAUCAUGGUUACUCCGGACCCCAGCACCCCAAGCCGCCUCGCCUGCCAUGUCAUGCACCUUUCGUCCCACCGGCUAGAUGAGUAUUGGGACCGGCAACGCAAUCGGCAUCGGAUGGUUAAGGUAGACCCAGAGACCAGGUAAUAUAUGCUCCUGGGCAGGGUGUGGUAUGGGUCAUGCAGAUGCUCCCAGGCUUGCAGGCUCCACCUGACAGCUGCAUGUUGUCUCUGCAGGUACAUGUCCCUUGCUGUGUGUGAACUUGACCAGCCCAGCCUUGGCCCCCUUGUGGCUGCAGCCUGUAGUGAUGGGGCCGUAAGGCUCUUUCUUUUGCAGGAUUCUGGGCGGAUUCUGCAGCUCCUUGCUGAAACCUUCCACCAUAAGCGAUGUGUCCUCAAGGUCCACUCCUUUACACACGAGGCACCCAACCAGAGGCGGAGGCUCCUCCUGUGCAGCGCAGCUACUGAUGGCAGCCUGGCCUUCUGGGAUCUCACCACCAUGCUAGACCAUGAAUCCACUGUCCUGGAGCCUCCAGUGGAUCCUGGGCUUCCCUACCG